rnacentral:rRNA from 1 species
UACAGAGGGUGCGAGCGUUAAUCGGAUUUACUGGGCGUAAAGGGCGUGUAGGUGGUAAGGCAAGUAAGAUGUGAAAGCCCUGGGCUUAACCUAGGAAGUGCAUCUUAAACUGCUUAACUAGAGUACGAUAGAGGGUAGUGGAAUUUCCGGUGUAGCGGUGAAAUGCGUAGAGAUCGGAAGGAACGCCAGUGGUGAAGACGACUACCUGGAUCGAUACUGACACUGAGGCGCGAAAGCGUGGGGAGCAAACAGG